GUUCAGCAAAGUAAGAUCUACAAAUAAGUCAGCAUGAUCAAAAUUGUUAGAGGACCCCUUAAGGAGUUAUUGCCCUUUAUAGUCAAUAUUGAACAACUUUUCGUCAUUUUUGUAACUUGUAUAAAAAUCAUUUCUAAAACUACUUGGCCAAAUUUAACCAAACUUGGCCACAAUCAUAAUACUAGGGUAUCUAUUUAAAAAAAAGUGUCUAAUGACCCCGCCUACCAACGAAGAUGGCCGACAUCAGUAAACACAUUAACAGGUGAGCGACACAGGCUCUUGAGAGCCUCUAGUUUUUUUUAACUGGAUGUGAUUGUCAUAGCAUGGUCACAUGAAUGGUUUGACUUGUCCAGUCCAGGCCACUUAUCAGUUGUUUGUGCUCAAUUUGAGUGUAUUUAUUUAGAUUAUCAAUCCUUCUGCUUUCAAGCACUUUCCAAAAAUGGAAACAAAUUAUUUUCAGGAAAAAAAUAAUUUCGAUUUUUUUUGUGGAAAAUAAUUUUUUGACCCGGGCGCUUAUUUUUGACCCGUGUGGGGGGAGGGGAAACAAACAUAUUUUUAAUUUUGGCCUUAGAUUUUUUAAGCAUAGGUCUACUUGUUGUAUGGAAUGACUACAAGGUAUCAUAUAAAAAAAGAUGUCUGCCUGCCA
rnacentral:lncRNA from 1 species